AAAUCGUACCCCAAACCGACACAGGUGGUCAGGUAGAGAAUACCAAGGCGCUUGAGAGAACUCGGGUGAAGGAACUAGGCAAAAUGGUGCCGUAACUUCGGGAGAAGGCACGCUGGUGUGUAGGUGAAGUCCCUGCGGAUGGAGCUGAGACCAGUCGAAGAUACCAGCUGGCUGCAACUGUUUAUUAAAAACACAGCACUGUGCAAACACGAAAGUGGACGUAUACGGUGUGACGCCUGCCCGGUGCCGGAAGGUUAAUUGAUGGGGUUAUCCGU
rnacentral:rRNA from 1 species